UUACGGACAUAGCACAUUGAAACACCCGUCCCCGUACAAUCACCGAAGUUAAGCAACGUUUAGCCUGGUUAGUACCUGGAUGGGUGACUGCUUGGGAAUACCAAGUGCUAU